GCCCCUGGGUGCUCUGAUCACUAUUUGCUCUCUGUUAUCUUGUUUGGAGCACUGCCAGCCAGCCAGCCAGCCCGUGAGGGAGAUUUGCAGGCUGCCUACAAGCUCUUGUGAAAACCUUGUCUAGAUGGGAAGGAUGUGGGAGUCCGUGUUGAUGAUACAGCUGAAUGGAUGGAGCUGUUUUACCUCUUCAUUUAUCAUUAUCAUUAUAAUUUAAUUAUCAUUGCCUUAUCAUUUUCAGCUUAAUUGAAAUGUAAGCACCCUGGACCUAGGGGAUCAGCACAGGAACUGAACAGACAUCUCCAAGAUGAAUCUUAGCUGGCAAGCAAUGUUCAUAUAGAAUUAUGUUUUAAGUUUCUAAGAUCAUCUGAAAAAACCCAGCCCAGGGUGACCAGUUUAGUGUUCUGCCUGCUCUUGAUUAAAGAUGCUGAGAUAGCUGCACUACCUGUCAUCCAUUCUCUGUGGAAAGAUUUGAAAUUUGCCAGUGCUCUCUUUCACUAUGGGUCAGAAACCAGGGACAGUUCAAGAAUUUGAAGCCAAGAUUUGAUGCUGCAGAAUUUCAGAUAAAAGCUGUGAGGUAAAGAGGAAAUGUGCAGAACAUCUCAGAGUUUCAUAUUCAGAUUCCCUUGGAGAAAAAAAACAUCUUUAAGA
rnacentral:lncRNA from 1 species